AUGGUCAAGGACUCCCCUUUCAAAGUCCCACCAAUACCACCUAAGCAGCAAAAGAUUGUCAAGUUUGCCAUGGGCACAAAGGGGGAACAGGCCACAAAAUGUUUGGGGUUCAGAGACGAGAGAGAACUGCGAGCCGCAGCCAUUGAUGCAGGGGUGCCAAGUUCUGCUAGGUUGCUGCCAACUCAGACUGGAAAGAUGCCAACUAUAGAUACCAGUGUGCCAACUGAUGUGUCAGUUAGCAGCGUGGUCACAGUCAAAACCACCACAGCUGCUCAGGAAGGCACCACUGCAACUGCAAGCCCCAAGGUGCCUACUCAUAGAGAUGCUUCAAUGCCAAAGACAAAAGGAGGUGAUCCUACUACCAAAUUGCCGUCCCCAAGAGCCAGCACACAGCAGCCAAGCAAGCCUGCAUCACCAAGAGCUGACUUUCAGCAACCAUUAACACAAGAGGAGGUGUUCAACAUUAUAAGUAGGUGCAAGCCUCCAAGGCCGCCAACUACAACACUAUGGCGAACCAAGUCAGUGAACGAUGCACCCGUGUUUGUGCCGCAAGGAGAUGCCCUGGUCCUUGAACCCAUACGAAGAUCAAAGUCUUAUCAUGGUGACGGGUUCUGCGAUGCACCAUCUUUUGACCUCGGCAUAGAUGGUGAUGCUCCAGCACCUGCUCCAGCAGCAGAAACAGCGGAAGCCGGUGUGAUUUGUAUUGAUGAGUCAUCUCAAAGGUCUCCAUUCAUUGACUACAACAAGAAGAAGACUUUCAGCUCCAAUGAGGCAGUGAACAAGCUUUACGCUGCCCUCUUGUAUUGGGUCAGGCAUCACGAAGGAGCAAAUGAUGAAGCUACCAGGUAUGGUGCUUUCUACAUUUCUUUAAAGGAGUUAGUUGAUUCGAUGAAGCCGGUUCAAUGGCUGUCAAAAAUUGUUAUUGAGACUGGAAUCUUACACAUCAUGGAUAACUUACCAGAAGGGUCAAAGAAGGUUGUUAUGCCACUGAGGUUUUCUAUGAAUUUACAGCAAGGGAUCCACAACGUGAAUGAGAUAAACAAGAAGUUUGAUUACAAGAACCGUCUCGACAAGAAAGACUUGCUAUAG
rnacentral:rRNA from 1 species